UACGUAGGGCGCAAGCGUUGUCCGGAAUUAUUGGGCGUAAAGGGCUCGUAGGCGGUCUGUUGCGUCAGGAGUGAAAACUCGGGGCUUAACCCCGAGCCUGCUUCUGAUACGGGCAGACUAGAGGUAUGCAGGGGAGAACGGAAUUCCUGGUGUAGCGGUGAAAUGCGCAGAUAUCAGGAAGAACACCCGUGGCGAAAGCGGCUCUCUGGAACGGUACUGACGCUGAGACGCGAAAGCGUGGGGAGCGAACAGG
rnacentral:rRNA from 1 species